rnacentral:rRNA from 1 species
GAUGAACGCUAGCGGCAGGCUUAAUACAUGCAAGUCGAGGGGCAGCGGAGUAGCAAUACUGCCGGCGACCGGCGCACGGGUGCGUAACACGUGUACAACCUACCUUAAACAGGGGGAUAACCUUUCGAAAGAGAGACUAAUACCCCGUAACAUCAUGAUAGGCAUCUAUUGUGGUUGAAAGUUCCGACGGUUUAAGACGGGUACGCGUAUGAUUAGCUAGUUGGUAGUGUAACGGACUACCAAGGCGACGAUCAUUAGGGGAUCUGAGAGGACUACCCCCCCACACUGGUACUGAGACACGGACCAGACUCCUACGGGAGGCAGCAGUAAGGAAUAUUGGUCGAUGGAGGCAACUCUGAACCAGCCAUGCCGCGUGCAGGAUGACGGCCCUAUGGGUUGUAAACUGCUUUUGUACAAGAGAAAACCCCAGUACGUGUACUGGGUUGAUAGUAUUGUAAGAAUAAGCAUCGGCUAACUUCGUG